rnacentral:rRNA from 1 species
AUACGGAGGGUGCAAGCGUUACUCGGAAUCACUGGGCGUAAAGCGCGCGCAGGCGGCUUGAUAAGUUGGAUGUGAAAGCCUACGGCUCAACCGUAGAACUGCAUCCAAAACUGUCAGGCUAGAGUCUGGGAGGGGAAGAUGGAAUUAGUUGUGUAGGGGUAAAAUCCGUAGAGAUAACUAGGAAUACCAAAAGCGAAGGCGAUCUUCUGGAACAGUACUGACGCUGAGGCGCGAAAGCGUGGGGAGCAAACGGGAUUAGAAACCCCGGUAGUCC